UUCCAGUUGCUCUUAAAAUAAGAUCCUAACCCUGUACCACGGCUCGUAAGGCACAGUGAGGCCUGGCUCCUGUCUGCGUCCACCCUGCUACUCACCUGCACUCGCCUCACGGUCUUCCUGUCACUUUGCACUGUUCAUAUCCGUAACUGUCCUUGGGGAAAGUUGCUGAACCUCUCUGGACUCGUUGCACUGAGAACAACGUAUCCUUGUGGCAUAUAUAUAUUUUUUAAUGGUCACUGUUAUUCCUUCCAUCGAAAGGUGGGUCUCUGUUCCCUCCCUGUGACUCCAGAUGGGAUUCUGUGGCUGUUUCGACCAACAUUUUAUAGGAAGUCAUGCUACAUGACUUCAGCGGCUGUAUCAUGAAAGGCCAGGUUCUGUCUGGUUCUCCUGGCGCGCUCACUCUGGAGGGAGCUGCUGCCAGGUAAGCCUGCCGUGAGACUGUCCAGCUGGCAAGGCCGUGCACAGGUACUCCUGAAGACACCUCUGGCUGAGCUCAGCUGUCCAGUCUUUCAGGUCUGUGUGAAGCUGUCUUGGACCCUCUGGCCUAAUCUGUCGGUCAGCUGAGUCCCACUGAGUGACUACUGAUGAUGCCACAGGGAGCAGAGGAAUUGCCCAGUUGCCCAGCCAAGUCCUGGCUUAAUUCCUGAUCCACAGAAUCUGUGAGAGGAUGGGUGUUCCAAGGGCUGCUUUGUUCUCUGCUGUGUGACCAUCAUCCAGCACAAAGCCUGGCGAACAGUGGGGC
ensembl:lncRNA